rnacentral:piRNA from 1 species
UAGAAUUUAGAUGAAAAAGUUUGUCUUAGUU